rnacentral:rRNA from 1 species
AGAGUUUGAUCAUGGCUCAGGAUGAACGCUAGCUACAGGCUUAACACAUGCAAGUCGAGGGGGCAGCAUGUUGGUUGCUUUGCAACCAACGAUGGCGACCGGCGCACGGGUGAGUAACGCGUAUCCAACCUACCCUUGUCCAUCGGAUAACCCGUCGAAAGGCGGCCUAACACGAUAUGCGGUUCACGGCAGGCAUCUAAGGUGAACGAAAUGUGAAGGAGAAGGAUGGGGAUGCGUCUGAUUAGCUUGUUGGCGGGGUAACGGCCCACCAAGGCUACGAUCAGUAGGGGUUCUGAGAGGAAGGUCCCCCCACAUUGGAACUGAGACACGGUCCAAACUCCUACGGGAGCA